AUCUGAGUAGCUUAUUUAGAGCAUAGCCGUGAAGACGCUAAGGAGAUAUUUAUAUCUUUAGAUA
rnacentral:tRNA from 1 species